UACGGAGGGUGCAAGCGUUAUCCGGAUUCACUGGGUUUAAAGGGUGCGUAGGUGGGCAAGUAAGUCAGUGGUGAAAUCUCCGGGCUUAACCCGGAAACUGCCAUUGAUACUAUUUGUCUUGAAUACUGUGGAGGUCAGCGGAAUAUGUCAUGUAGCGGUGAAAUGCUUAGAUAUGACAUAGAACACCAAUUGCGAAGGCAGCUGGCUACACAAAUAUUGACACUGAGGCACGAAAGCGUGGGGGAUCAAACAGG
rnacentral:rRNA from 1 species